rnacentral:rRNA from 1 species
GGCUUGCAUGUUUCCUCCUGCAUUGUCUUUUCUUCGCCUCACCCGGAUUUCCUUACUUGACUAUCAUGUUCAUUCAGGAGAGAUGUUGGAGGAC